AGUGAACGCUGGCGGUAGGCCUAACACAUGCAAGUCGAACGGCAGCACAGUAAGAGCUUGCUCUUACGGGUGGCGAGUGGCGGACGGGUGAGGAAUACAUCGGAAUCUACUUUUUCGUGGGGGAUAACGUAGGGAAACUUACGCUAAUACCGCAUACGACCUACGGGUGAAAGCAGGGGAUCUUCGGACCUUGCGCGAUUGAAUGAGCCGAUGUCGGAUUAGCUAGUUGGCGGGGUAAAGGCCCACCAAGGCGACGAUCCGUAGCUGGUCUGAGAGGAUGACCGGCCACACGGGAACUGGGCCACGGUCCCGACUCUGACGGGAGGCAGCGGUGGGGAAUAUUGGACAAUGGGGGCAAGCCUGAUCCAGCCAUACCGGGUGGGUGAAGAGGGCCUUCGGGUGGUAAAGCCCUUUUGUUGGGAAAAAAAGCAGCAGGUUAAUACCCCGCGGUUCUGACGGUACCCAAAGAAUAAGCACCGGCUAACUUCGUGC
rnacentral:rRNA from 1 species